GGAAAGCUUUUUGUGGUUUUGGAUGGACUCGCGGCCUAUCAGCUUGUUGGUGAGGUAAUGGCUUACCAAGGCGACGACGGGUAGCCGGCCUGAGAGGGUGACCGGCCACACUGGGACUGAGACACGGCCCAGACUCCUACGGGAGGCAGCAGUGGGGAAUAUUGCACAAUGGGCGCAAGCCUGAUGCAGCGACGCCGCGUGAGGGAUGACGGCCUUCGGGUUGUAAACCUCUUUCAGUAGGGAAGAAGCGAAAGUGACGGUACCUGCAGAAGAAGCGCCGGCUAACUACGUGCCAGCAGCCGCGGUAAUACGUAGGGCGCAAGCGUUAUCCGGAAUUAUUGGGCGUAAAGAGCUCGUAGGCGGUUUGUCGCGUCUGCCGUGAAAGUCCGGGGCUCAACUCCGGAUCUGCGGUGGGUACGGGCAGACUAGAGUGAUGUAGGGGAGACUGGAAUUCCUGGUGUAGCGGUGAAAUGCGCAGAUAUCAGGAGGAACACCGAUGGCGAAGGCAGGUCUCUGGGCAUAACUGACG
rnacentral:rRNA from 1 species